rnacentral:tRNA from 1 species
GGGAAUAUAGCUCAAUUGGUAGAGUGCUUGCCUUGCGUGCAUAAAACCCUGCCUGGGUUCAAUCCCCAGCAACACCA